AAGUGGGUGCAGAAUCCACAUCUUUCUGAAUGACAGUUCUGCUGUGAGAAGCUGCCAUUAGAGAGAUCCAGCAGGCCCCAGGACUCAGCUGGCCAGCCGGUCACACUGCUCACUGCUCAUUGUCCUCAACUGUGGACCUCUGUCCCCCUCUGCUGGCCACUCCCAGAAUUUCCUGCUGGGACUGUCAAGAUGAAGUCCAAGGAGGAAGAGACUGCUGUAUGAGCGGCUGGAGGAGCAGCUCAACGACCUGACUGAGCUUCAUCAGAACGAGAUGACGAACCUGAAGCAGGAGCUGGCCAGCAUGGAGGAGAAGGUGGCCUACCAGUCCUAUGAGAGGGCACGGGACAUCCAGGAGGCCGUGGAGUCCUGCCUGACCCGGGUCACCAAGCUGGAGCUGCAGCAGCAACAGCAGCAGGUGGUGCAGCUGGAGGGCGUGGAGAACGCCAACGCGCGGGCGCUGCUGGGCAAGUUCAUCAACGUGAUCCUGGCGCUCAUGGCCGUGCUGCUGGUGUUCGUGUCCACCAUCGCCAACUUCAUCACGCCCCUCAUGAAGACACGCCUGCGCAUCACCAGCACCGCCCUCCUGGUCCUCGUCCUGUUCCUCCUCUGGAAGCAUUGGGACUCCCUCACCUACCUCCUGGAGCACGUGUUGCUGCCCAGCUGAGUGGCCAGCCACGCCGACCCCGUGCUCUCCGGCCCCCAGCUGGCCAGACUUCUCCAGGAGGGACCCUUGGACUUCUUCGUGUGUCCAGUUUGGCCUCCUGCCCAAACUGUCCAUUCCAGCAGCUCCUG
rnacentral:sRNA from 1 species